UUACGGCCAUAUCAUGUUGAGACACCGGUUCCCGUACGAUCACCAAAGUUAAGCAACCUCAAGCGUUGUCAGUAUCUAGAUGAGUGACCGCUUUAAGAUACCAGGUGUUGUAAG